GACGAACGCUGGCGGCGUGCUUAACACAUGCAAGUCGAACGAAGUGGCGAACGGGUGAGUAACGCGUAAUCAACCUGCCCUUCAGAGGGGGACAACAGUUGGAAACGACUGCUAACACGGCAUACUGAAGGAGGGGAGUGCGUCUGAUUAGCUAGUGGGGGGGGUAACGGCCCACCAGGGCGAUGAUCAGUCGCCGGUCUGAGAGGAUGGACGGCCACAUUGGGACUGGGGCACGGCCCCAACUCCUACGGGAGGCCGCAGGGGGGAAUCUUCCGCAAUGGACGAAAGUCUGACGGAGCAACGCCGCGUGAGUGAUGACGGCCUUCGGGUUUUAAAGCUCUGUUAAUCGGGACGCGGUACCGGAAUAGAAAGCCAUGGCUAACUACGUGCCAGCCGCCGCGGUAAUUC
rnacentral:rRNA from 1 species